CCCCCCCUGCUAUUGAACUGCCCUGCUCAUCUCCCCUAUAAUCUCUGCUAUAAUCUCUGUUUUUAUAACAUUAUUGCAUUUUCAUAGAAAAAGAAGAAUUGAAUUGAUCAACAUAAUAGCUGAUGAUGAAUUAAUCAUCUUGUUUGCACCUGUGCAGGAGACAGAAAUACAUAUCUACAUUGUUAUCCGGAAUAAUGGCAUACGGGAAUCAUUUGUCUUGAAGAUUCUGACAGCUCGAAACAGGUAAAUUCUCCAUCGAUUUCUGAUGCUGCACAACGUCCCAGCAUGACCAUUAAUCUGAUGCAUCAGUGGAUUCGAGGGUCCGCUCUCAUGGAAGACCCUAUACUCAUAACACAUCGUAUUACACUUUCAAGCUAAAGAAGAGUAUAUAGGCACUGAGACACUUCAUCAUGUCCUCGAAUGUAUCUGUGAUAGGUGUUGGAACAUAUCCCGAUCGAGAAUCAGUGCCCCUCGGAGUAUCAAAGUAUUAAGGACGUAACUGUGCUCUCCCCAAGAAGAAUUUCAAUGCUGUUUGCUUCUGUACUUCCCCUUUCAAGACCUUAAGCCGCACUGGGAGCAAUACAGUUAGCAAUAAAAUCAAGUCUGGUGACGAGUUAAACUCCUUAAAGAUAUUUAGCCAUUGCCGGUAAAAUGUCGUAAAUGUGAUUUUUUCCAUGUUCAAGGAAAAUUUUGUCAUUUUUUGGCUGAUGACAGAACAUAUGAAAUAAACUUUUUUGAUGUUAAAAAAAAUUUAAUCGCAAUAGAUUCGGCAGAAAUGAACAAACAAUUUUUUUUCUUGACACACGGACUCUUAUGGGAUUUAUAGUUAAAUUGAUAAUUCACUUAUUAGAAGUCUAAAUAUAGAAAUAAAAAUAGGAGGUCAUUUGCAAAACUAUUUUGAAUCGAAUGGCUAGAGAAAAAUCUGGGGUAUCCGGGCAGACAGGCAAUAUUUGAAUGAUUCUAUGGCAUAUAAACGUAUGUUAGGGGCAUGCAUUUGGGACAUGUCUUUUCAGGCGCUAUGAAACUUGAGACAAAACAGAUUGAAGGAAAAUAAACGUAAAUCGUGCAUGCGAACUAUAUCCCCUGGGGGAGAGAAUUAGUGCUGUAGGUAGGGAAUCAUUUUUAAAAAUUGAUUUUUUUUUCCAUUUUAUUUGUAUUAUCAAAUAGUAUAAAAACGUGGAAGUUUGUAUGGCGACAAUGUAACCACGAAAAUAUGAAAACUCUAUAUUCGUCCUCUGAAUACGGAGUUUUUAUAUUUUCGUAUUUUUUUCGCAUUUCAUUACUUGUACAUGGAGGACAUUCAAGAAGUAUUUCCAGAAUGUUAAACAAAAAAUUGAGAAAUUCAAACAAAUUAAAAGGUUCCUGUAGGGAGCAAAGGAGCUACUCAUUUCAAGCCCGACUUUAACACCUGAGGACUCACUGAGAGUAAUGCCGUACGCUCAUCUGUGAAAAUGGGCAAAAAAGUUCAGAUUCUAUUAGGCUCACCAGAUAGUACACUUUGUCACAAGGCUGUAAAGAAAUUUUCUGGCGAGUGUGAGUUUGCAGACCGAGGCGAAGCCGGCGAGGAUUGCAAAUACACUCGCCAGAAAAUUUGUUUUCGACCGAGUAACAAACAAAUUUUUUUGUUAUUCAGUUUGUAGACAAGGCGUUAUGGCUGCGCAGCGGUGACCAAAAGACAUUUUUCGUUGGACGCUGUGACCACUUCAUGAAAGGACACGUGUUUUUUCUUUCGAAGAAUAAUUGAAAACUAUAAAGUGUUGAGCGAAUGAGAAUGACAAUAUAUUAUAAGCUUCUACAAAAACUCCGGAAUACGUAGCAUUAUAACAUCAUUAUUCGAUAUAAUUUGUAAAUUUUAUAAUUUUUGAAGAAAAAAAAUACGUGAUUUUCUUUCCACUUCCCAUAUCUCAUUGCUGUUCUGCAUGAAGAAAUUUUAUGAAGCAUUUGAUGCAACAAAAUGUGUUGUUUCACUCCUUUUGAUAAUUUUCUUCAACGUAAUUUUUCUAAACCGAACUUUUCCUUCUCAAGAAACUGCCAGUAAUUACAACACUAUGGAUUUGAUGAUGAAUUCAUGAAAGGAAUAAAGAGAAAAGAUCUAAAUUAUGCAUAUAGGCUAUAUCCUCUGGAGGGAGAGGCUUAUAUUCGCAUUUCAGGUAUGAAAUCAGUCUCUUAUAUUGAUCCAACUCCAGUUUACUUUUAUCACGAAAUCAUGUACUAAUAUAAAAGUUUGAAUUAAAGCUAUCAAAUUGAGAUCCAUUUACUCUCGGUUCACUAUAUUUCAUCUUCUUGAUUUUUAAAAAUAUAAUCUUUCUUCAAACCAAUAACAUUUGAUAAAAAUCAUAUUAUAACUAAUAACCUUAGGAUGGAGUAAUAGCUUUGGUCCCUUUUUAAAAAAAGCAUGUAACGUUUUUUGUCACCGUUUUUCGCGAGGUAUCUAUUCUUUUCAAAUACAUAAUAUAAAUCAUAUAUAUACAUAGAUUAUAUAUAUAUAUAUAUAUAUGUAUAUGUAUACGCGACGUUUUUUGUUGUAGAGAAAACCGCGAGGAUGUGUUCAUGAGAAUUUUUCAUAUCCUUAGAAUAAGUAAUAUAUGAAGUUGUUUAUUCUUUUUUCAAUUGUUUACUGUCUCUCUUUUUAUUUAAUAACAAGAUGAUGACAGCCAUCUUGACUGUAUGUCAAUUGUGUAUAUGAAUAAAUUAAAUAAUUAUUCCCUUUGAUUAA